rnacentral:lncRNA from 1 species
UUUUACAUAAAUAAUUUUAAAAUUGUUGCAUUUCAUAAAUUUUUAAAUAGACAUGAGUUUAAAACAAACAUUACAUAGAAGCAAAUAUAAAUAUGAAAAUCAUACAAGAAAAUAAAUACAUACGAAUGGCGGCUGUUGUCUUUUGUAGUGCAAAGAGACCGUCGGAAAAUAUUAGCUGGAUACGUUGCAUCUUCUUUGAAAUAAUCUUCCCAUAAUUGGAUGCGUCUUUGUUCACGAUCUCUUUCAAUAUACGCGCGUUUUUCUUGGUUUUGGUUGUUUUUUGAUAAUCACCUUAAUUUUCGAUAUGUCGUUGAAAGCUUGAUUAAAAGUUUAAUUAAAAGGGUUGUUCAUCAUAUUUUGGAGAUUAUUUUUUUGGGUUUUUUCCUUGUAUGUUUAAUCCAUCACUGAAUGAAAAAAAAAAAAAAAAAAAAAACUCACCCAGUCAGCUUUUGCCACGUCACCGUCUCUUGAGAUGAUAACCACCUCUUCAAAAAGAACCGGUUCUCUCUUAUUUUUGUUAAUAACCAUUUAUUUUUAAUCUGUUUUUGGCUAAAGAGCCUCAUUAAAACCUGCCGUUGAGGCUGGUCUAAGCUUUUACCUCUUCCGUGUAAAACGUCGAGAGUAUGAGGUCAUAUUCGAUCGCUUCCUUUUUCGUUAGUUAAAACUUAUUUAAAAUUCAAUAAUUCGAAUAUGACAUUUGGAUAAAC